rnacentral:rRNA from 1 species
UACGGGGGGGGCAAGCGUUGUUCGGAAUUACUGGGCGUAAAGGGCUCGUAGGCGGCCAACUAAGUCAUACGUGAAAUCCCUCGGCUUAACCGGGGAACUGCGUCUGAUACUGGAUGGCUUGAGUUCGGGAGAGGGAUGCGGAAUUCCAGGUGUAGCGGUGAAAUGCGCAGAUAUCGGAGGAGACACCAGUCGGCGAAGGCAGGA